rnacentral:rRNA from 1 species
UACGGAGGAUGCGAGCGUUAUCCGGAUUUAUUGGGUUUAAAGGGUGCGUAGGCGGGACGCCAAGUCAGCGGUGAAAAUGCGGUGCUCAACGCCGUCGAGCCGUUGAAACUGGCGUUCUUGAGUGGGCGAGAAGUAUGCGGAAUGCGUGGUGUAGCGGUGAAAUGCAUAGAUAUCACGCAGAACUCCGAUUGCGAAGGCAGCAUACCGGCGCCCUACUGACGCUGAGGCACGAAAGCGUGGGUAUCGAACAGG